GCGCCCAUAGCUCAGUUGGAUAGAGCGUCUGCCUCCGGAGCAGAAGGUCGCAGGUUCGAAUCCUGUUGGGCGUACCA
rnacentral:tRNA from 1 species